rnacentral:tRNA from 1 species
CAGGGCGUAGCUAAACAUAGAUAAAGCGUCUCACUUACACCGAGAAAGUAUCCGUGCAAACCGGAUCGCCCUGA